UCCGGGGGGGGCUAUCGUUGUUCGGAAUCACUGGGCGUAAAGCGCACGUAGGCGGGUCAGCAAGUCAGGGGUGAAAUCCCGGGGCUCAACCACGGAACUGCCUUUGAAACUGCUGGCCUGGAGGUCGAGAGAGGUGAGUGGAAUUCCUAGUGUAGAGGUGAAAUUCGUAGAUAUUAGGAAGAACACCAGUGGCGAAGGCGGCUCACUGGCUCGAUUCUGACGCUGAGGUGCGAAAGCGUGGGGAGAAAACAGG
rnacentral:rRNA from 1 species